UACAGAGGGUGCGAGCGUUAAUCGGAAUUACUGGGCGUAAAGCGUGCGUAGAUGGUUAUGUAAGUCGGAUGUGAAAGCCCCGGGCUCAACCUGGGAGGUGCGCUCGAGACUGGUUGGCUUGAGUUCGGGAGAGGAGCGUGGAAUUCCUGGUGUAGCGGUGAAAUGCGCAGAUAUCAGGAAGAACACCAAUGGCGAAGGCAGCUCUCUGGGACGGUACUGACGCUGAGACGCGAAAGCGUGGGGAGCAAACAGG
rnacentral:rRNA from 1 species